rnacentral:SRP_RNA from 1 species
GCUGGGCACGGUGGCAUGUGCCUGUAAUCCCAGCUACUCGGGAAGCUGAGACAGAAGAAUUGCUUGAACCCAGGAGGCAGAGGUUGCAGUGAGCUGAGAUCACACCGCUACACUGCAGCCUGGGCAACAAAGCGAGACUCUGUCUCAA